rnacentral:rRNA from 1 species
AGUGAACGCUGGCGGUAGGCCUAACACAUGCAAGUCGAACGGCAGCACAGUAAGAGCUUGCUCUUACGGGUGGCGAGUGGCGGACGGGUGAGGAAUACAUCGGAAUCUACUUUUUCGUGGGGGAUAACGUAGGGAAACUUACGCUAAUACCGCAUACGACCUACGGGUGAAAGCAGGGGAUCUUCGGACCUUGCGCGAUUGAAUGAGCCGAUGUCGGAUUAGCUAGUUGGCGGGGUAAAGGCCCACCAAGGCGACGAUCCGUAGCUGGUCUGAGAGGAUGAUCAGCCACACUGGAACUGGGACACGGUCCAGACUCCUACGGGAGGCAGCAGUGGGGAAUAUUGGACAAUGGGCGCAAGCCUGAUCCAGCCGUACCGCGUGGGUGAAGAAGGCCUUCGGGUUGUAAAGCCCUUUUGUUGGGAAAGAAAAGCAGCAGGUUAAUACCCCGCUGUUCUGACGGUACCCAAAGAAUAAGCACCGGCUAACUUCGUG